CCGGAGCUUGCUCCACCGGAAAAAGAGGAGUGGCGAACGGGUGAGUAACACGUGGGUAACCUGCCCAUCAGAAGGGGAUAACACUUGGAAACAGGUGCUAAUACCGUAUAACAAUCGAAACCGCAUGGUUUUGAUUUGAAAGGCGCUUUCGGGUGUCGCUGAUGGAUGGACCCGCGGUGCAUUAGCUAGUUGGUGAGGUAACGGCUCACCANGGCCACGAUGCAUAGCCGACCUGAGAGGGUGAUCGGCCACAUUGGGACUGAGACACGGCCCAAACUCCUACGGGAGGCAGCAGUAGGGAAUCUUCGGCAAUGGACGAAAGUCUGACCGAGCAACGCCGCGUGAGUGAAGAAGGUUUUCGGAUCGUAAAACUCUGUUGUUAGAGAAGAACAAGGAUGAGAGUAACUGUUCAUCCCUUGACGGUAUCUAACCAGAAAGCCAGCGGCUAACUACGUGCCAGCGAGCCGCGGUAAUACGUAGUGGCAAGCGUUGUCCGGAUUUAUUGGGCGUA
rnacentral:rRNA from 1 species